UCCAAAUUAUUCAUCCGCUGCAAUUACUCUCUUGCCGUGCCGCCCCACACCAGCUACCGCCGCGCGCCCGUGCUCGGCUCCCCGGUCCUCCGUCCGCCGUGCGCCGCUAGCUCGCGGUGGCCGGUGAGCCACCCGAAUGCCCCUCCCCUCCCGAAAAGCCCCGCAGCUCCGCCCCCUACCUUCGCACGUGCCCGUGCUUCAUCGCCCUCCCAGACUCCCUCACCCGUCGCGCGCCGCCAGCAAGCCGCUCCCCCGCCCGUUGUGCGCCACCAGGGAGCCACCCAAUAGCCCGGCUGGGCACCGGGCGCAGCGGUGUCCCCCGUUCCCCAGCCCGCCAGUCUUGCCUCGUGGGCGCCUGGACCACGGCUCGCUCCCAGGAGGACAGGUGUGCCUCGCUUGCGUGCCCGAUGCCCAGCGAGCCGCCGGUCGCGACGAGGCCUCUUUGGCCACAGCUACGGCGGCGAUGUCAGCGUGUGCCGUGCGCGUGUGUCCUGCGCCCCCUCCUCCGCAAUCCCCAUCGGACUCGGCCUGCAAUCAGCAGACUCGGCCUGGAAAUCUCCGUUGCUCUGGUGACCGCAGCAUCCUUCAUCCAGAACCUGUUCGUCCCUGACGACGCCCUUAUCUAGGUAAGAACGGGUUGUAAAAACGAGUUGCCUGGUGCCCGCAGCAUCCUCCAUCCCCAGGAGAACCUGACGCUGCCCUUCUCAAGAUGACUCUUGAGCUGACACUAUUUGGAGCAGUGCAGCAACAAACAAUAAGUACAUAUGAUCGUUUUUUCUUAAAGAACCAAUGACAUGCAUAAUGGACAACUUAAAGUCAGCAGUCAGCACUAAUUCUUUGUCUUAGUCUAUCUUUUUAUAUGUCAGCAAACUGUACGACGAUCCGCGCAUCUUAUGGUAGAGCUACGGGAAGGACUGUAGAGGAAGUGGCAAGGCUGGCAGUUGUGGUCGCUGACACUGGACAUCGUCACAGCAGAGGAUGGUUGGUAUCUCUGCUCAUCGUGACGGCAAGGCUAUGCAGGGAGACAGAGCUAGAGGUUUAGGAAUUGCAUUUUCAGUAGAUUGGGGAAUGUUCCUGAAUUUCUGCUUCUACGAUGUAUGUCAUGGGAGUUUGUUCCGGUUGAGAUGAUGAAGCAAGACCACAUUACUUAGAUUGGUAGAAUUUCAUUUGUGUUGUAUUCCUUUUACCCCCUUUGCCUGCCCUCUCUCAAUUGUAUUUUAAACAUGUUUGGUUGCUUGUCAAAUUGAUUGUGAGGCAGUAUGGUAAAAAAUCAAAA